AUUGCAGGCAACAGAAACAAUCUUUGUCCAACCAGCAAAAGAGGGAUUUGGAGAAAGAAAAUGAAGCAGCUUAUGGAACAGAAGGUCAGGAGAGUCCCAAGAAGAAGGAUCAUAUCUGGUUUCCUCUUCUGCCUCUCCCCAUGGUGUCUAGGAGAGUGCACACUCAGUCAGCAUUGAUAACUAACUCUGAAUGCAGAUGUGACGGUUGAUAGACCAGCUGCUAUAUUGGACUAUGAAGACAAGGGUCACCCCUCUGGAUCGGACAGUGUGGAGUUAGAAGAAGCUCAGCUCCCUGAGGAUUUUGUGGAGUACAUCCAUACCAGCCCAUACAGGCUGACUGCAGACAUUAAUUUUAUGUCAUGCCCCUGGAAGCUGAGCCCAGUUCAAAUGGCUGCUAUCUUUCUAUCUACUGUGUAGAGAAUACUGGAGGGACAAGAGUGAAAAUAGGGAUAAUCUCUAUUUCAUACAUAGGAACCCUGAAGCCUGAAGAAGUUAAAUGAAGUACAUUAGGAUUGUGGGUAAAAGUACUGGCUUUAAAGUUAGUAAACUUGUCUGUAUUUAAAUCCUGCCUCCAAUACUUCCUAACCUUGUAACCUUGAGCAAUUCCUUAGCCUGGGUAAGCCUGAUUUCCUCAUCUGUAGAAUGGGAUGAUAACAGUGCCUAUCUUAGACUAUGAUUGUGUGUAUUAAAUAAAAUAAACCAUGAAAAGACCUAACACAGCCUGAUAGAAUUGGCAUUCCUCGCCUGCCAGUUCCCUGUCCCUCCUUCGCCGGACCCUUUCCCACCUCUUGCAUCUGUCCAGGAAAUGGUGAUCCUUCCAAGGUGGGUGAACAGCGCAAUCAGUUAAGAGAAAUGCCUUUUGUUACGAAGAGAGGGCAAAAAGAGGGAGAGAAGGGAGAAAGAAGGAAGCCUUAGCACACGAAUGGAUAUGAUGGACUUUCAAGUACCCAGAGGUUUCAGCUCACAAGAGACAAAUGUCAGUAGUGAGCCUGGAGUACUGAGAGAUCUAAGAAAAGAAGGCCGGAAGUUCAGCCGUCAGCCUCCAAGCUGUUCCCUUGCCAAUCCCCUUCUUUUUUCUCCCUUUCUCUAUCACCUCUUCUCUUUCCUCUUCCAAAAUAAAAGUAGGAAGCGUGAAAAGCUUGGUAAAUCAUCUGGUUUUCAGGCUGUUUUUCCUUGGAGUGGCUAAGACUGCUUUUUAUUGGCUUGGCAGGAUGUUUUGAGAUUGUGUGGCGAGGACUCCUCUGUGUGUGUGCCCGUGUGUGUGUGCGCGCGCGUGUGAGUGUUUAUCUGAGUACUGGG
rnacentral:lncRNA from 1 species